UACGUAGGGGGCUAGCGUUGUCCGGAAUCAUUGGGCGUAAAGAGCGCGUAGGCGGCCAGAUAAGUCCGGUGUGAAAGUCACAGGCUCAACCUGUGAAUGCCGCUGGAAACUGUCUGGCUAGAGUCCGGAAGGGGCGAGUGGAAUUCCCGGUGUAGUGGUGGAAUGCGUAGAUAUCGGGAGGAACACCAGUGGCGAAGGCGGUUGCCUGGAGCUUUGCUGACGCUGAGGCGCGAAAGCUAGGGGAGCGAACGGG
rnacentral:rRNA from 1 species